UGAAGAAUAUUGGGCAAUGGGGGAAACCCUGACCCAGCAACGCCGCGUGAGGGAAGAAGGUUCUCGGAUUGUAAACCUCUGUCCCAUGGGAAGAAAAAAAUGACGGUACCAUGGGAGGAAGCCCCGGCUAACUACGUGCCAGCAGCCGCGGUAAUACGUAGGGGGCAAGCGUUGUCCGGAAUUAUUGGGCGUAAAGGGUGCGUAGGCGGCCCAUCAAGUUGGAUGUGAAAUCCCCGUGCUUAACAUGGGAAUUGCAUUCAAAACUGAAGGGCUUGAGUGUGGAAGAGGUAAGUGGAAUUCCCAGUGUAGCGGUGAAAUGCGUAGAUAUUGGGAGGAACACCAGUGGCGAAGGCGACUUACUGGGCCACAACUGACGCUGAGGCACGAAAGCGUGGGGAGC
rnacentral:rRNA from 1 species